rnacentral:rRNA from 1 species
AUUGAACGCUGGCGGCAGGCCUAACACAUGCAAGUCGAGCGAGCGGCGGACGGGUGAGUAAUGUAUGGGGACUGCCCGAUAGAGGGGGAUAACUACUGGAAACGGUGGCUAAUACCGCAUACUAUCGGAUAACCCAUAUGGGAUUAGCUAGUAGGUGGGGUAAAGGCUCACCUAGGCGACGAUCUCUAGCUGGUCUGAGAGGAUGAUCAGCCACUGUGGGACGGUGAAACGGCCCAGAGUACGACGGAGGGAGCAGUGUGGACUAUUGCACAAUGGGUGCAAGCCUGAUGCAGCCAUGCCGCGUGUAGGAAGAAGGCCUUAGGGUUGUAAACCUCUUUCGCUAUCGAACGGGUAGGUGGAGAAGAAGCGCCGGCUAACUCCGUGCCAGCAGCCGCGGUAAUAC